rnacentral:rRNA from 1 species
CCUACGGGCGGCAGCAGUGGGGAAUUUUGGACAAUGGGCGCAAGCCUGAUCCAGCUAUUCCGCGUGUGGGAAGACGGCCUUCGGGUUGUAAACCACUUUUGUAGAGAACGAAAAGUCUAUUGAUAAUACCGAUAGAUGAUGACGGUACUCUAAGAAUAAGCACCGGCUAACUACGUGCCAGCAGCCGCGGUAAUACGUAGGGUGCGAGCGUUAAUCGGUAUUACUGGGGGUAAAGGGUGUGCAGGCGGGUUUGCAAGAUGGAUGUGAAAGCCCCGGGCUUAACCUGGGAAAGCCAUACAUGACUGCAAGACUAGAGUGCGUCAGAGGGGGGUGGAAUUCCAAGUGUAGCAGUGAAAUGCGUAGAUAUUUGGAAGAACACCGAUGGCGAAGGCAGCCCCCUGGGACGCAACUGACGCUCAUACACGAAAGCGUGGGGAGCAAACAGGAUUAGAUACCCCAGUAGUC